AAACCAUAUGAUGAAUUAUGGAUUUCCAAUCUCACGACGGUCGUCUGACUUAAUCUUGAUGUAUUGAUCCGAUAUUUCUGAUGGUU